rnacentral:rRNA from 1 species
GACGAACGCUGGCGGAGGGAGGAAUAAAGGAAAGUAGAACGGAAAGGUACUGCUUUUGUGGGGUGAUUGAGUGGCGAACGGGUGAGUAACAAGUGAGUAAUAUGCAUUUGACUUUGGGAUAACUUCAGGAAACUGGGGCUAAUACCGGAUAGGAUCUCCUGCUGCAUGGUGGGGGUUGGAAAGUUUCGGCGGUUGGGGAUGGACUCGCGGCUUAUCAGCUUGUUGGUGGGGUAGUGGCUUACCAAGGCUUUGACGGGUAGCCGGCCUGAGAGGGUGACCGGCCACAUUGGGACUGAGAUACGGCCCAGACUCCGACGGGAGGCAGCAGUGGGGAAUAUUGCACAAUGGGCGGAAGCCUGAUGCAGCAAAGACGCGUGCGGGAUGACGGCCUUCGGGUUGUAAACCGAUUUCGCCUGUGACGAAGCGUGAGUGACGGUAAUGGGUAAAGAAGCACCGGCUAACUACGUA